AAGAUCUGUGGUUGUUAUUGUUUGCGUCCAGGAGGUAGAUGCCGCAUGGAACUGUUGUAGUAACUCAGUUAUAGGCUUUGUGGUAUUGUGAAUUCUAAGAGACAAGAAACGGAACGCAAAAUUGUUGGAGAGAAAACAGGAAACGUAAUAUACAUUCGCAUUCUGGGAGGCAAACACGCUUAUAAGUUAAAAUGAUUGUGUCACUGAAGUAUAUAGCGAUGAAACUCGCUAAAAACAGGAAGAGAAAUGCAGCGAAACUGGAGAUACUGUGGGAAAUUUGCAUUUGCAAAAUAAGAUGCUGAAAUAGCAGAAACACAUCACAAAUCCAGUACCACAGCAAAACUACAGGAUUGUACAACCAAAUGUUCUCUGCCACUACCCUAUAUUUUUUGGGAUGGUUACGAAGGAUAGGCCAUGGCAUAUACCGAAGAUCAUUAUUUUAUAUUUUACCAUCUGUGCCAGGUUAAUGUGUCUGUUAAUAUAUCAAUGUUAUGGCACUGUCAAUAGUAGUAUCACCAAUACACUUUAAGAAAAUGAAAGUUUACAAUCCACUGUGAAAACCCACUGUCAUAUAAUGUUUGUUGAAGUGGAUGACACUUGUAUCUGUUGUGUUGGAGUUACUGUUGCAAUG